rnacentral:rRNA from 1 species
UACGUAGGGGGCAAGCGUUGUCCGGAUUUAUUGGGCGUAAAGAGCGUGUAGGCGGCCAGACAAGUCUGCUGUGAAAACUCGAGGCUCAACCUCGAGCUGUCGGUGGAAACUGUCUGGCUAGAGUCCGGAAGAGGAGAGUGGAAUUCCUGGUGUAGCGGUGAAAUGCGCAGAUAUCAGGAAGAACACCUAUGGCGAAGGCAGCUCUCUGGGACGGUACUGACGCUGAGACACGAAAGCGUGGGGAGCGAACAGG